rnacentral:rRNA from 1 species
UACGAAGGGGGCUAGCGUUGCUCGGAAUCACUGGGCGUAAAGCGCACGUAGGCGGCUUUUUAAGUCAGGGGUGAAAUCCUGGAGCUCAACUCCAGAACUGCCUUUGAUACUGAGAAGCUUGAGUCCGGGAGAGGUGAGUGGAACUGCGAGUGUAGAGGUGAAAUUCGUAGAUAUUCGCAAGAACACCAGUGGCGAAGGCGGCUCACUGGCCCGGUACUGACGCUGAGGUGCGAAAGCGUGGGGAGCGAACAGGA